rnacentral:rRNA from 1 species
AUGGUGGCGGAGGGGAGUGCGAUGAUGUCUGCGGACGAACUGCAUAAUGGGCUAGAAUUUCUCCUACAUCCAGUUGACAGAUUCCCGCUGACAGAAGUCACUGCUGAUGUUGAGCAGCCAGAUCCACCGGCGCUCAUGGACGUCCGGCGGUCAGCGCCGCCUACUGCCGACUCUUCUUGUGCCGUUGUGGUUGGCCACCUCGGUGUCUCCUCUGGGCAUAACAGAUCUGCUGGCAAGAGGCCGCUUUCACCAACCAAAUCCGCCGAGUCCACUAGGAAGGUUAACCCCGAGGCACCAGGAUGGACAAGAAGGGGAAACACGAGCAACAGAAUAGCCGUUCUUGCUGCUGCGAGUGCCAUGCGAUGGUCAGAUUACUAA